UUAAAUAUAAAAAAGAAGAUGUGGUAUGAUUGCCAAUGAGACAACUGUCCACAAGAAACCAAAAUGACACAGACAUUAACAACUAUAAGUCACCGUACGGCCUUCAACAAUGAGCAAAGCCCAUACCGCAUAGUCAGCUAUAAAAGGCCCCGAUAAGACAAUGUAAAACAAUUCAAACGAGAAAACUAACGACCUUAUUUAUAUAAAAAAAAAUCAACAAAAAACAAAUAUGUAACACUUAAAACAAACGACAACCACUGAAUUACAGGCUCCUGACUUGGGACAGGCACAUACUGAAAUUAUGUGGCGGGGUUAAACUUGUUAGCGGGAUCAAGGUGACCUUAAAUACACCUGCUUUUCUUUUUCUGUC
rnacentral:lncRNA from 1 species